AUCCUGAGUACGGCGGAACACGUGAAAUUCCGUCGGAAUCUGGGAGGACCAUCUCCCAAGGCUAAAUACUCUCUAGUGACCGAUAGUGAACCAGUACCGUGAGGGAAAGGUGAAAAGCACCCCGGAAGGGGAGUGAAAUAGAACCUGAAACCGUGUGCUUACAAAUAGUCAGAGCCCGUUAAUGGGUGAUGGCGUGCCUUUUGUAGAAUGAACCGGCGAGUUACGAUUUGAUGCAAGGUUAAGCAGUAAAUGUGGAGCCGUAGCGAAAGCGAGUCUGAAUAGGGCGAAUGAGUAUCUGGUCGUAGACCCGAAACCAAGUGAUCUACCCAUGUCCAGGUUGAAGUUCAGGUAACACUGAAUGGAGGACCGAACCGACUUACGUUGAAAAGUGAGCGGAUGAGGUGUGGGUAGCGGAGAAAUUCCAAUCGAACUUGGAGAUAGCUGGUUCUCUCCGAAAUAGCUUUAGGGCUAGCCUCAAGUGAUGAUUAUUGGAGGUAGAG
rnacentral:rRNA from 1 species